rnacentral:lncRNA from 1 species
UUUAGGGGACCCCCGCUCUUGACUUUGCUUUGCCCCAUGACUAUCCUUACCUCCUCUCUUUAGAGUCUUAUUUAUUCCGCUCUUUUUAACUAGGGCUGUGAUGGAUGGAGGCUAAUCUUGUUUCCUUUCAUCUAGUACCUGGACCAUUCUCACUAGACCCUUCUCUGCCUCUUUGGCCAACACAUACUUGUGGUGUCAGAUCUGGUACAUGAAUGGCCAUUCUACCCAGAUAGAUUUUGGUUUAUUUAAGACAUCAGAUUCCCUAGAAUCCUUGGUUCAGGAAGGCGCUUGGGAAAGGGGUGUAGCCAGAUUCUUUUUUUUCCUGCAAGCCCCAUGGGGCAGUGUCCAAUAAAUAUUCUGACGAGCGUGUGGGCUGUUUUUCAUCCAGGUCUAUUCUACUCUUCCUCAGUUUGUGUAGGCUGCUAGGGAAGAGUGAGAGAUGUCAGAAGAGUUGUGUGUGGUGGUGAUGUUAGGUCUGCCAUGACCCAGCCCUCCCGCUCAGGUUGCACUUUCAGCAAAAGAAUACUGUCUUCAUCUCCUUGGUACUUCAGUCUUAACUCUUUACAAGAUAAUUGAUGCUAAUGAUAUAUUGUUAACAUGUUUUCUAAAUUACCUAACUUUGAAUUGAGCUGCCUUUUCACAGUGGGGUUAAGGACCAUGGUUGCCAUGUAGUUUAUGGAUAUUCUUUUUAGGUCACCUAGCUGUCCUGGUUCACCUGGAAAAUAAUGUUUUAAAAAUAUAUUUUUUAUUUAUU